UAACCUGCCUGGUAGCGGGGGAUAACUAUUGGAAACGAUAGCUAAUACCGCAUAACAACAGUUGUUGCAUGACAGCUGUUUAAAAGAUGCAAUUGCAUCACUAUCAGAUGGACCUGCGUUGUAUUAGCUAGUUGGUGAGGUAACGGCUCACCAAGGCAACGAUACAUAGCCGACCUGAGAGGGUAAUCGGCCACACUGGGACUGAGACACGGCCCAG
rnacentral:rRNA from 1 species